rnacentral:rRNA from 1 species
UACGUAGGGGGCAAGCGUUGUCCGGAAUCAUUGGGCGUAAAGAGCGUGUAGGCGGCCCGGUAAGUCCGCUGUGAAAGUCCAGGGCUCAACCCUGGGAUGCCGGUGGAUACUGUCGGGCUCGAGUCCGGAAGAGGAGUGUGGAAUUCCUGGUGUAGCGGUGAAAUGCGCAGAUAUCAGGAGGAACACCAAUGGCGAAGGCAGCACUCUGGGACGUGACUGACGCUGAGACGCGAAAGCGUGGGGAGCAAACAGGAUUAAGAAACCC